AUGUGGGCAUUGAGCUAUCUGGAAAGCCAAGCCAAGAUUCUGUCAGGUCAUAGUUGUUCAUGCCUUGGCUGUGGAGGCCUCAAGAAAAGGAAAACAGAUGCAGGAUUGCCCUGCUCAACUCUAAACUCCAUUUGAUUCAUCUGGCCUCUUCAUCAUUCCUGCUUUGAUUUAAUCACCCAUCCCCAGCAUUUAUUUAUGACUGGAGCUCCAUUCAGCUGGAACUUUGGACCUGGGUUCCAUUUAAUUGGGCACCAGCUCUGCACCAAAACACAUAUGGAACAAAUUAUUCUACCUUUUAAAUCACAGCAAUGUAUAAAUCUGGAAGAAAAUGCUGCAUUUUCUGACCUAGGAAUCCUUUCCCAGAGCUUUAAAAAAAAAAGCUGCUUUUAAAAAAAUUAUUAUUGAAAAAAAUGUUCUAAUAUGUCUUCAGAAUUUUUGAAAACUUAUUUCCAUGGAAUGACAGCUCAAUCACAUAUGGAGAUUUCAUUAAACUGGUUUAACAAGAAUUCCUGUUCAGAAGAGUUUAGUACUGAGCAAGCUGGUUACCAACCUCAAGAGUCUUACACUUUAAAGAUACAAUAAAAUAUAUUCAAACAUAUAUUCUCUUUUCUGAAAUGUGUUGGUAGUAUAUUAACACAACCAGUUAUAUCUCUAGGAUGCCAAGUAAUGUCAAGAAAAAAUUGCUCUGGACAAAGUUAAAUGAGCAAGGAAGACUUUAUUCAAGCUAUUUUAAUAGGGGACAGAGACAAUUGUCAAGAAGACAAUAACUCUUCUUGAAAGUCUAAAAUGUAGCAAAGCUGAGGGGAACUUUAAGGCUGUCUUGGUCGAUAAACAAGAAAAGGGAAACUCUAGCACUGAAAAAGUUACUUUUGAGCAAUAUUUUAAUAAAAGAAAAGCACACAAAUUCCUCUAAAGGAAGGGGAAGCUGUCUGAGGCCGAGGUGGUGCUCUGCCAGGAGCAAGCUGACAAGUCUCACUCAAGUGCUGGCAAACAGAGCUUGGGGGCCGGAGCAGGAGCCUGAGCUGGGAGGAGGCUGGCCAUUCAUUCCAGGAAACUAGUGGGUGGAGGGCCUUGAUGCCUGUGAUUAAGAGUGUUAAUUUGGAUUGAGAGGUAAUUGGGCAUUGGCACAGGACUCAGAAAGGGGAAAUAAUGCAAUCAAAGAGAGGCCUGAGGAAGAUGAUUGUGACACCUGUGAGAGAAUUGAGGCUACAGAGGCUGAGGCGGGAAGACCAAUAAGGAGGUCAUUAUCCUGCUGCCUAGACUGUUAGAGUGCUCCAUCUCUGCACUAAUCCCCACUCUGUCCCUUUUUCUUCAGUGAAGCACUUCUCCUGUCUCUCUCCUUAAUUAUCUUUUCACAAUACAGUCCCUAUGACCACCUUUUAAAAAAUCAAACUGUCCUUCUUAUUUCUUUGAAAUCUCUCCAGAAAGUACACUUGAACCAUAAGAUUUAAGAUGUAAUUAAAUCAUCAGAUCUUCCAGGCAGAAGAUGUGAAGCGAUAAUUAAGAGUUUCCUAAGUUUGCCUGAUCAUAAGACCCAAGUAGGGAUGUUUAAAACAUGUGUUUAAUUUUUUUUUUUUUUUGAGACAGAGUUUUGCUCUUUGUUGUCCAGGCUGGAGUGCAAAGGCAUGAUCUCAGCUCAUUGCAACCUCUGCCUCCUGGGUUCAAGCGAUUCUCCUGCCUCAGCCUCCCGAGUAGCUGGGAUUACAGGCAUGUGCCACCAUGCCCAGCUAAUUUUGUAUUUUUAGUAGAGUCGGGGUUUCGAUAUCUUGGUCAGGCUGGUCUUGAACUCCUGACCUCAGAUGAUCCGCCCACCUCAGCCUCACAAAGUGCUGAGAUUACAGGCAUGAGCCCCCGCGCCCGGCCUGGGGUUUCCUUUAAGCAUAACUUCCUAGGUUCCAUUUCACACUCACUGAAACAAUAUUGUCCACUGGACGGGUAUAACAACUUGUCUUUUCAGGAGAGUACCCCAAAUGAUAGCUAUGAUCUGACAGUUAGACAAUGAGUUAUAAGGGACAGUUAGUAGCUGGCAAUGUCAUGAGACUUCAUGAACGAGAUGAGUUUUUAAUGAGUUGAUUUUAAACUACUUUCCUCUCCAUUUUGGUUCCUGAUGGCACUAGCAUAUCAGGCUAAUGGUGAAUGCCUAAUGAAUGACGUUGCCUGGAAAACUGGUAAAAACCAGAUUAAAGUAUGCUCCUGCCAAGCACUGGCUUAGUUAAAUGAAUGUAAUCGGAGAAAAGGAAUCCUCGGAAAUGUGAGAAAACUACACAAAACAAUCGCAUUGGGGGAUGAGCCAGAAGCUGACCGUGAAAAUGAGGCUCUAGAUACACAGUCACUCAAGUGCUUUUUCAAAACUGAACUUCCAUAUCUCUUUGGCCCUAUCCCAAUAUGGAAGGACUAUAGUAGAUAAACAUCUGAAUGAGAAAAUGAAUAUUAUGCCAUACUGAUUCUACCAGGUUUAUACAGCUGUGGACCAAGUGAGUCAACAGUAAUAUGCCUUUAAAAAUUGAACAAACGUGAAACAAAAUGUCUUCAGGAAAUAAGAUUUAACCUGCAGGUUUAACUAGCCACAUUUUCCCCACGAAAAAGAGCCACUAAAAUAUGUAUCUGGAACCUUCGUGGAAGCAAGUCAAAGGAAUUUGAAGGAAAAGCUGAAGGAAUCACAUGGAGCCAUGCAUGAAACAAUGGGACCACCUAGUGUCAUCUGAACUUUUCCACUAAAGGGCUUAUCAUCACCCAGUUUCCUCUUGCCUAUGGUGUACGACUAGUGACUGAGUAGAGGGCUGGGUAGGAAAAAACAUCCAUUUCUAUUUGGGAUUUGGAGUUUGGGUGGAAGUAGAACAAGAUAACAACUGUCACCAGGAUCUAUUACCUUCUGAUAAGCUCUGGAAGGACCUGGUGCUCAUCUGACUGUUCACAGAUCCUUUUUAUCAAGACUGUUAUUCAGCUAAUCCAGAUGUCCUACUGAAACUGAUUAUUUUUUUCAACCUAGUGUCUUCUUUUGGUCAAAAUCCUUACCUAAUUUUCAAACAGAACCAAAAUAAUAACCAGUGCCUGCAAAACUUUUUGUGUCAAAAGUUCUUAUUCUCUAAGCACUUGGGGAAUUAUUUACGCAAGGCUCGUGUACAGAUCUACAUGUCCUAGGCUAACAACAGCUAGAGAGCCUUUAGGAUAUUUAAUUUGCUUUUCAAAUGCAAUGAAAAUAAAGUUUUUUUAACAUAUUUUCUUCUUUUAUUGAAAGUAUUAUUCUGAAAAGAGGACAAAGGAAACUUAUAGGUAGAAAAAGCAAAUAGUACAGAAAAAAAGAAAUGCUAGAGAAGACAGGGUUUCAGUACUACAGUCCAGUUAAGACAGUUUGAAUAUGGAUACACCAGAAAGAGAAAGAAACAAUAGAAUUAGCAAGAAUGGUGAAAGAAGAAAAAAAAAUGUGUCUUUUGCAUAAUAUGCUAAUUUAUCACAAUAACUUCUGAUCCCUUGUAAGGAUUCCAUGUCCUCUUUCUUCAAUGCCUUGACGCUAAUAGAUCCUAAAUACUAACCUAGAAGACUGACUUUACUCAAACCUUUCCUUUUGCUAGUAUAAUUCUCUAUUAAAGCAAGUGUAAUGUUUGAUUAUAUUUUAAUAAGCCACUAUAUACCUUGAUUUUGAAACAUAAAAAUGUCACAAGCAAAAUUAAAAUGCAAGUGACAAACUUCAAAAAAUAUAUUUUAAAUUAAUAAAUACAGAUACCCUUAAUAUAGAAAGAGUUGACACAAAUUACUAAGAAAUGUUAUUAAGAUUCUGGUCAAAAUACAGACAUGAGCAGAUAAUACUCAGAAGAAAACUACCAGUGGCCUGUUCAAUCUCAUAGUAAUUUGCAAAUUAAAAAAUGAAAUACAAUUCUUUAGUGAUAAUGUUCAAGACUGGUCAUAAUAUUCAAGGUGCAGAGAUAGGCUUUCUAUUUCAUACCUAGUAAAAGUUUAAAUAAGUAUAACUUUUGUGAAAAGUUAUUUGUAAUAUGCCCUGAAAUGUAGAGCUUUCAGCUUAGUAGUUAAACUACUACUGGAAUAUUAUUAAGGACAAUAACAGAUAUGAAAUAAUACACUCACAAGUGUAGUUAUUAAAGAAUUAUUUGUAAUAAUGAAAAACAGAAAUAAUCUAUUUUUCAUGAGGAAAGUUUUUAAAAUGAGUUUGUAGAAGAUUUAAUAAAAUGAGGAAAUACAUAUGAUAUUGUUUACAUAAGUAAAUACAAUUUUAAAUAUAUGCCCCCAUAUGGUUAUGAAUCUAAUUAUGUGUUUUAAACUGUAUUUACCAGGGUCGGUUUCCUUGUGAAUAUGUACUUUGGAAAUUGCCAAGUGUUUGAACAUUUCAAUGGCAUUUAAUUUUCCCCCAAAUUCAGUUUUUACAGUGCCUGGAACUUAUUACGCUGAUGUCUGCAUAAUGUGUGUCUUUGUUUUUGUAUUUUUUUAACUCAUUUAAUCACAGGGCCAAGUCACUGCCAGAUUCCCCAAUCUAUUUUUAAUUGGUCUAAAACUUUGAUUUUCAAAUAAACAAGCAUUACUUUAUCAUACCCUUUGAGACAGCCAGGUGGGAGGGGGUCUCAGAAAACCUCCAACCAGCCUGGGCACUGGGGUGAGGCCUCGGGAAGUUCACACCAUUUUCAGCCAGGAGGAGUCAGGCCUCUCCUCUGUCUACGUGGACCUGGGAUUCGAACAGCCAGGCAGGAAGCACUCUACCAGGGACUCUGGCCUAGCAAGAAUCCCUGUUUCCCCUUUUUCUUCCUUUUCACCCAAUAAAACCCUGUCUUACUCACCAUUCAAAUUCUCUGCGAGCCUGAAUUUUCGUCGGUGUGGGACAAAGAACCCCGUCUUUAACUGAACUAAGGAGAAGUCCUUCAAUAUCUUCAAUCCCUUCAUCUUCCUAGCACCAGAUGCUGGUUUUCUUUUCAGGAUGACUUUUACAAAUAAACUGAAGUGCUUGUUACUUUAUAAGAGUAAGAAAUUUGGAGAAAAAAAUAGAAAAAAACUUCUCUCACAUGCAGCAAACUUUAAAUUAUUCCAGAAAAGUGAAAUCCUGAGUCUUAAAUCAAAUGCAGAAGGUCUUCUGAAUAGAAAUAUUCAUCAAAAGGGGCUGGGAGGUGCAAAUUAUGCAGUGGUUAUCUGCGUCAAAGGAGUACUGAAGAUUUAAUUAUUUAUACUUUUUUUAAAAUUUGAUUAACAUCUGUUGUAUUUAUAAUUAUAAUGUAAUUAAAUUAAUUAUAAUCAUAAACCAACCUUUGUUUCUGAUUCUAGAGGCAGUAGAGCUUAAUGGUCAGAGCACUCAUUCUAAAGCCCAGUGGGCUGGUUCAUAUCCUGCCUCCAUUGUGACUUCUUGAACAAGUUAUUUAUCCUCUCUGUGCCUCAAUUUUCUCAUCUGUAAAGUAGGGAUAAUCACAUUACCUACAUCAUUGGGUUGUUGUGACAAUUACAUGAGUAAGUUAUGUGAAGCACACAGAACAGUGCUUGCCAAAUAACACUGUAUAACCAAAUGUGCGCUAUAAUUAUUUUGUUCUAAAUAAAUGUGUUCUAGAAUGCUCUAAAAACUAAAUGAUCUAACAUUUUAAAGUUACAACUAAUUUUGGAAGAUAGAGGUUUUCAAGGAUUGGUUAAAACUUGUACCACUGUCAUUUACGUGGAUUUUACAUUGUGCUGGAGACUACCAUAAACAUUUUAUGGACAUUUGUUCAUUUAAUUCUCACAGAAAAUUUUGAGUUAUAUUUUAUCACCAUCAUUUUAUAGACAAGGAAACUGGAUAAACAGAGGUUUAGAAAUCUGCCUAACUAGGUCACAGACAAUGGAAGAAGAAUGCCAGAAUUCAAACCCAGGUCUUCCUGCCCCCAAGAUUAAUGUUCCUAACUAUUCUGGGCAAUUAAGAUUUGUGAUAGGUAUACUACACUAGUCCUAGCUAUAACUAAAAUGUGUAUUCUUCAAAAUUUUGUCUGAAUAUUAGUAAUUAGAGAUCAAUUGAUAUUCAUGCUUUGUUAUUUCAGUAAAGAGGUCAUCUAUUAUAAUCACUGAAUAUGAGUCAUGCCUAUGAAAAAUCUAGUUGUUUACACAAUACUGCAUAAUCCUAUCACCACUAUUUCCAGGGCAACUUUUACCAAAAGGCAAUGCCAGGAGAAAAUAAACAGUCUCUCAUGGCUUAGUUUCACAAGCUUAAACCUAUAAAAUCAUGAGAGGAUAUAAAAAAUCCAAUGAUAGAGUUGCUGCUGCAGGUGUGCAAGUUUGUUGUUGUUGCUCCUAUAUUCUGAUGUAACAUUUGAAGUAUAGUACAGACAAUAAACUUGGUUCAGUGACUUGAAUACUUAGGCAGUCUGACUCUAGUAAACUGAAUGUCUAUUGAGUGAGUGUUCAAGAUGAAAAAUAUUUGAGGGCCUGUUUCUUAUUCUGGCAACUGAUGAAUGGGAAGCUCCACUCCCCAUCCCCAAAUAUGUGUGGAUUGAUGGGGCUUCAGAAUUAAGACAUAGAGAAGGAAAAGUCGCCAUAUACUACUUUAAAGGGUUAACGAGCAGUCCGGGAAAAGAUGCUCACCUUAGAUGUCAGCAGCACCUCUCAAGGAUGUGCCGUGUAUUCUAACGAAGAUGUUCUUGGAAAACUCUUUACUAAGAAAAGAACUAGCAAAGAAUUGACAAAGCCUUGAAAUUAUCUUGUCCCUCCUACAAAUCGCAAGCUCUUCAUUAAAGGCAUCAGAACACGUUCUAACAAGAAAUUUUCAGCUUAGAGUGGUUGUUCUGCCAUUCUGCCACUCUCCAUGUUAAGGCCAUUCCAGGGAGGGUAGAUUCUAUGAUUAAGGCGAUUAAGGUAAUCAGCCAGGCUGACUCAAACACUCAAUCUAGCUGCUGCCAGUGGACCUGCUGGUAAUCACCAGAAGAGUAUGCGUUGGAGGAGAAUUUCUCUCUACAAGUACUCUUGUGUUUGUUAAAGUUGAAACUAAGUUGGACAAAGAACUGUGCUUGAAAGUUUCCAGCUCUAUAAAUUGUAACUUCCAUAAAAUGUAUCCCUGACUAACAGUCCCCUGACCACAUACCAGGGGUUAUGCUUCUGGAGUCUGUACCCCUUUCUAAUAAACUGCUCUGGACACAAUGAACCCUGAAUUAAUUGUUGUAACAGGUUAAUGGAUAAGGUAACAAAAAAAAC
rnacentral:lncRNA from 1 species